GCCAGAGUGGCGGAACCGGCAGACGCAGCGGACUCAAAAUCCGCCGGGGGCAACCCCGUGAGAGUUCGAGUCUCUCCUCUGGCA
rnacentral:tRNA from 1 species